UUGUUACUCCCUCCGUUCCGAAUUACUUGUCGCACGUAUGGAUGUAUCUAGAUGUAUUUUAGUUCUAGAUACAUCCAUUUGAACGACGAGUAAUUUGGAACGGAGGGAGUAGAUA
rfam:Triticum aestivum genome assembly, contig: Triticum_aestivum_CS42_TGACv1_scaffold_514653_6BS